rnacentral:rRNA from 1 species
AGUGAACGCUGGCGAUAGGCCUAACACAUGCAAGUCGAACGGCAGCACAGUAAUAGCUUGCUCUUACGGGUGGCGAGUGGCGGACGGGUGAGGAAUACAUCGGAAUCUACUUUUUCGUGGGGGAUAACGUAGGGAAACUUACGCUAAUACCGCAUACGACCUACGGGUGAAAGCAGGGGAUCUUCGGACCUUGCGCGAUUGAAUGAGCCGAUGUCGGAUUAGCUAGUUGGCGGGGUAAAGGCCCACCAAGGCGACGAUCCGUAGCUGGUCUGAGAGGAUGAUCAGCCACACUGGAACUGAGACACGGUCCAGACUCCUACGGGAGGCAGCAGUGGGGAAUAUUGGACAAUGGGCGCAAGCCUGAUCCAGCCAUACCGCGUGGGUGAAGAAGGCCUUCGGGUUGUAAAGCCCUUUUGUUGGGAAAGAAAAGCAGCAGGUUAAUACCCCGCUGUUCUGACGGUACCCAAAGAAUAAGCACCGGCUAACUUCGUG